CUGUCAACUGCUAACUGCAGUGCCACCCUCAUUGCAGGCCUAAACAGAACACUGCCAUGGGACCCACAGGAGUUAAACCUGUUGGGGUCCAUGAGAAUUGGGAACACGUCAGGCAAUUGGACUCAAACAUGUAUCUAUUUUGGGGGACGCAUGCAGCCUUACCGGUUAUUUAACUGGACAGGGUGGACGAACGUCACCCCAACAGCAGUCUAUUAUGAUUAUCAAAACCAUGAUUCCUUCUGUGGCACCAAUGGCACCAGCCACCAGGGGCUGGGAGCCCUUGGGGCUGAGGCCAAAAAGGGGCACUUAAUUUGGAACAAUGGUACCCCAAAGGCCUUGCCACCAGACGUCUUUUUGAUAUGUGGUGACCGGGCCUGGCAGGGAAUUCCAAAAAGGGUAAUGGGUGGUCCAUGUUAUCUUGGUAAGCUGACAUUACUAGCACCCGAUCAAAAUUGGUGGAAACAUAUCACGGAGAAUGAGACCGCCGUCCGCAGUAAACGAGCAGCCAUAGGGCUCUCACCUGAUUGUAAUGAUCAAGUUUCCCUACGCAGUCCCACUGAAAGAGUGUUUUUGUCCUUCUUCGUGCCUGGAGCAGCGGCAGGCAACACCCUGAACCAGAUCGGCCGGUUAGCUUGCUGGGCUGAGAAGCAAGCUAACGUCACCACUGAGAUAAUAGAGAGCCUAUUAGAGGAUCAAGGUAGUUUGCGACAUGCUAUUYUGCAAAAUAGAGCUGCAAUUGAUUUUUUGCUAUUAGCUCAAGGCCAUGGUUGUGAGGAUUUUGAAGGUAUGUGUUGCAUGAAUUUGUCUGAUCAUGGUGAAUCAAUUCAUAAACAAUUGCAGUGGUUGAAGGAACAUACAAGCAAGAUCCGUCAGAACCAUGGGGUAUUUGACGAAUGGCUAACUAACCUGUUUGGAAAUCUACCACAAUGGCUAACAGGAUUACUUACUGAAGGCUUACGCAUUUUACUAAUCCUUGUAGUUGUCAGUUUGUGCUUAUGUGUAGUACUGAGCUGCUUCAAGAACGCUCUGCUAAAGGUAGUGAACCACGCCUGGAUUGCUCAAAAACAAGAGGGGGAAAUGAUGGAGGAAUGGUUAUGGGAAUAGUUAAGUGAGAGAGAGCAUGCUCUGAUUGGGAUGAGCAAUCCCGUCUUCGGGGUAGAGGAAGGAAUCUAGGCCAAGGCAAGCAAGCCUGCUGAAGGCGGCCUUAUCUAGGCCAAGGCAAGCGAGCCUGCUGAAGCCUGCUGAAAGUGGCCGUAUAGCGGCCUUGAG
ensembl:lncRNA